rnacentral:rRNA from 1 species
AUGGGUGCUGAACUAACUGUUACCGGGUGGUUCUUGUCGCCAAUCAUACGGGAGAUGCAGGACACCGCUUUGGCCUACAUAAAGGGGCAAUUCAGUUGGAAGAAAGAUCAGGAGAAGGACCUUGAACGCCUUGACAUCACCCUGACAGAGAUUCUGACCAUUGUGGAUGUCAUCGAGAAGAGGGAGAUAAAGGAUGGGAACCAGAGGAGGCUGCUAAGCAUACUUAAAGACGCCAUUUACGGCGCUGUUGAUGUGCUGGACGGCUUCCAGUACAUGGUCCUCAAGUCCAAGGUUGAUAGCCAGUCUGCGGUGAGUCGUGUCACCUCAACCUGUAUUUACUUGGGUAAACGUUUGAUCGGUGCAGACGAAAUCCGGGGGAAGCUAGCAGAUAUUUUGGAGAAAUUAGACGUUGUCAAGACAACAGCAGAUACCCUAUUGAAGGUGGUUAAUUUUGACAAUGCUACUGCAAAGUUAUUGCCAGUAACACGGCUGCGUGUAACUUCCCCUUUGAAGGAAAAUCACCAUAUAUAUGGUCGAAGAGAUGAGCUUCAUAAGCUGAGAGAUAUGUUGUUUGAGAUAAGCGACAGUAAUGCACCCGGACCCAGUAAUGCACCUGUACCCAGUGGCUCAAGCAUUGAUGUUAUAUCCAUUAUAGGUGUUGGUGGGGUUGGCAAGACUAGCCUUGCACGGUUGGCGUUCGGAGAUGAACAAAUACGCAUGAACUUCGGUCUCAGGAUGUGGGUUUCUGUAUCUGAUACUUAUGAUGAGAUUAGAUUGACAAGGGACAUUUUGGAGUCUUUAACUGAUGCAAAUUAUCACACUGUUGCUGAAUUUGAUGAAUUGCAGAAUGCUCUUCGUGGAAAGAUAGCUGGAAAGAAAUUUCUCCUCAUACUAGAUGAUGUUUGGUAUGACGAGGACAAAACAGAAUGGGAGAAUAAAUUACUCUGGAGCAAAGUCUUCUCUUCUUUAAAUACUGGACUGGAAGGGUCGAAGAUUUUGGUGACAGCUCGAGCUGACAAAGCUUGCAGUAUCCUACAUGCUAGGACACCCCCUUUACGUUUGGGAGGAUUGGACAGAGAUGAUUACUGGUUGCUAUUCAGAAACCAUGCUUUUGGUGAGAAAUACCCAGGACAAUUUCCAGAACUCAAGGAAGUAGGAAUACAAAUUUGUUGCAGAUUGAAUGGUUUGCCUCUAGCAGCAAAGAUAAUCGGUCGCCUAUUGAAUGCUGAUUUGGAUGUCAGCCACUGGAAGAAAGUUCUGGAGAGUGAUAUAUCUGAUGAUGUUAUGAAGGUUCUCAGGUUGAGUUACCAGCACUUACCUGUCCAAUUGAAGCUAUGCUUUAGCUUCUGCAGCCUUUUCCCAAAGGACUGGCGUUUUGAACCUCAAAGACUCACUGAAAUGUGGAUUGCACAGGGUUUUGUGCAGAGGGAGGAUUCAUAUGACACUGAUCCAAAUAUUGAGGAUGUGGCAAAGGGCUACUUCAAUGAACUUGUGCAAAGAUCAUUCUUUGAGCGGUCAUUGUUGGACCUCCCAACAGAGUAUGUCAUGCAUGAUUUGAUCAAUGACUUGGCUCGGAAUGUCUCGAAGGAUGAGUAUGUCAGGGUUGAAAAUGAUAAACAAAAGAAGAUCCCACCAAACAUUCGUCAUCUAUCAAUAUCAGCAAAUUUGUUAGGCGGCAUGAAGAAAACAGAGUUGAGAAAUUUGCGUACCUUGAUUGUUUGGAAGAAAGCAUGGUCUUGCUUAAAAUUGUCCCUUCCAGAUGAUGUAUUCAAGAAGUCCAAAAGCAUCCGUGUGCUGGACUUGAACGGUUGUUGCCUGGAUAGGCUGCCGACAUCAGUGGAAGUUCUUAAACAUCUGCGUUAUUUCGCUUUUCGGGUUCCUCAGAGGCCGUGGCAAACAUCAUUGAUUCGGCUUUACCACCUGGAGGUCUUGGUCACAAGAGGGCACUCCUGCCGGGAAAGUGAAUGUGUUAACCUUCCUGCAAACAUGAAGAGGAACCUGCUCAAAUUAAGAAAAGCUUUCCUUCUCAAUGUUGGCGGCGCCACGAUAUCUGGUUUCGGAGGACAAACUCUUCUCCGUGGCCACGGGGAGUUCCAUGUCAGGAAGGAGAGCGGCUACAGACUAGGUGAGUUGAAGGAGAUGAAAAAUAUCAGUGGACAGUUAAAAAUUAGAUCUCUCGAGAAUGUUGAACAUCAGCAAGAGGCAGUUAAUGCCUGCCUAGAUUGCAAAGAGCAUAUCGAAUAUUUGGAACUUGAAUGGAGCAUCCAUGCAAGGGCUUUAACUUGUGAUAUUGAUAAUGAUGUGCUCAGUGCCCUUAGACCUCACCCUAAUCUUGAUCGGUUGAAGAUCAUUGGAUAUGGGGGAACUAGGUCACCCAGUUGGUUUGAGGCAAAUUGGCUGACUGCAUUGAGUUCUUUAGCUCUUGAGAACUGCAUGGGUUGGGUACAGUUGCCCCCUUUUGGUCAGCUUCCUCUGCUCAAGUAUCUCGAACUAAGAGGCAUGCAUGCUGUCAGGCAGAUUGGUCAAGAAUUCUAUGGGAAUGGUGACAUAAAGGGCUUCCCAAUUUUGGAAGACAUGAUAUUUGAUGGCAUGCUCAACUGGGAUGGCUGGUCUGGAACCGAAGAUGGUUCUUUGUUUCCAUGUCUUGAAAGGCUACUCGUAUCACGGUGUCCAAAGCUUCGAGAAAUACCAACCUUUAGUGCAACACCAAGAGUUGAAGUCGAAAUAUCUCCUGAUUCCCCGCCAGCUUCUUGUUUAAUCGAGUCACUAAUAGCAACUGCAUCACGGUUGAUCUUUCUGGUUAGCUCCUACAGCUUCUUGAGUGACCUAACCACUGAGCAACUAAACCAUGUUGCUGAGUUGAACCUGCAGAACUGUAGAGAUCCCAUGCCAGCUGGUGGAUUUCACAGACUUAGCUCCCUUCAGGUGUUCAGGAUCAGCAACUGUUCAACGUUACUGUCAUCAGUCAGUACAGAAGCAGUUGACACAUAUUUACUUCCUCCAUCUCUUUGCCAUAUUGAAAUAGCUCAAAGCAAUGUGCAUUGCAGCUUAUUACCAAGGUAUUUGCAAGGCCUAACUUGCCUCUCGACGUUGGUGCUCAAUAGCUGCCAUUUGAUGACAUCAUUGUCAUUUGCUUCUGAAUCCCCCCACCUUGUUGCUCUGGAAAGUGUAACCAUUAAAGAUUGCAAUGAGCUAGCUUCAUUGGAUGGAUUUAGAAAUCUUAGUGCUCUCCGGAAGUUAGUCGUUGCAGAUUGUUACAAUUUCUGCUCCUUGCCAGCUGACUUGAAUAUAGUGGGGUCUCUUGAGAAAUUAGUCAUAUGUGGGUGCCCAAUGAUGAGGUUCCUCCCCGAAAACGGCCUGCCAGCUUCCGUGCAGACUGUUUUGUUAUCAAUGUGCCAUCCAGAGCUCGAUACCCAGCUUCAAAUGAAGGAAGGUGCUGAAUGGAACAAGAUUGUUCGUAUCCCCGAGAAGAAAUUAGAGGUAGAGCUGAUUGACUUAUUGACUAUAUUUCCGGCCAAUUCUUCCUGA